rnacentral:tRNA from 1 species
GGAGACGUGGCCGAGUGGUCGAAGGCGCUCCCCUGCUAAGGGAGUAGGCCCGAAAGGGUCUCGUGGGUUCGAAUCCCAUCGUCUCCG